GCUUAUAGUCCUAGGCUGAAUGUGCUCAAUCUAUCUGAUCAGAGGGGGUCUGGUCACUACUUGAAUGGGAGACUGCCUGGGAAUACUGGAUGCUGUUGACU
ensembl:rRNA Gm26152 predicted gene, 26152